GAGGAGGAAGAAAAGCAUCUUCAGUCCGAGCAUUGUGUUGGUGACUUGAAGACUGCCUUGGAUGACAAGGAAAGAGAAGCAAUAACUUCUUCCCAGAAACUGCAGGACCUCCUGUUGGCAUCUUCUGAGACUAAUCCAACUGUAAAACAACUGGAAGAAGACGCGCAACACUUUGCAAGUGAAAAGAGCAGAUUGGAAGCCACUGUCCAGCAACCAAGCGAUAGCGUUGAAGCCCUUCUGAGAGACCUGCAAGCCUCUGCCUCAGUUGGUGAACUUUCCCAGCAGCUGGACAUGGAGCCUAGAACAACCAUGCAGCUAGAGGCCCAAAAAAAGGCUUUGCAAGAAGAACUGUCCACUCUGUGUGGGAAGUGUGAAAAACUGGAGAAGAGCAAAUGCCAGCUGCAAGAAGAGGUGACAAAACUCCAUCAUCGUUUGGAGACUUUGGUGCUGGAUGGCAGCCAAACAGAACAAUGGAAAAGAGAGGUGGAAGAAUGAGCUGACCAGGAAAUAAGUCCAAAGCUACAAGAUGUCAGCCUCGUUUUGCAAGCACAGGCAGCCUACCAGGACAUGUUAGAAGAAAGCAGAACCAGUCACUUGGACUCACUGAAAAACCAGUUAGAAGACAGAAUUAGAGAUCUUGAACGUGCACUCGGAAGGAGAAAAAGCAACCAACCAGAAAGACCUUUUCAAAAAGAAUCCGCCCAGGCAGAAGUGGAAAAAUACAAAGAGCUGUAUCUGGUGGAAGCCAAAACCAGAAAAAGCCUAGCCAAGAAACUGGAAAAAGCUAAUGAGAGACUUGCAGAGGCCAACACCAAGCUCCUUCGGGAGUGCCACAGAAGCAAAUCUGCAGUCCCAAGCAGCGCCGUCAGCGGACAUCUGGCUGCAAGUCCACUUCUGGAUUCAACUGGCCUGGGACAUCUUGCCAUCAGCUUGGGACUGAACAGAAGUCUGGCUCUCACAACACCACCCAGACAUCUGUGGUAAAGCCCAAGACUUCUGCUCAUCAGGCACGACAGGAACGGGAUGCAAAAAUGGCUAGAGACCCUCAACGAGCCUUCCAGUUGAGACUUGAAUGUGAAAACUUGCUGCUUCCCAAAAUGUUGCGUCCAAUGUUAUGAAGUUGCCUGGAAAAAGCCAAGCACAAAGAAACACUUGGCUUAAGCUGAAGUUGCCCUUCACUAGAGUUGAUCUCAAGCACAAACAGCAAAGCAGACACGAGAUCAGAUUUUCAGAAGCUUCAGCCAU